rnacentral:lncRNA from 1 species
CGAGAGCGCGCGCGCUGGGGAGGGUGGGAAAAACGGACCUGCGUGGGGCAGGGCCUACCGGAUGAUUGGCACCGAGUGCUGGGUUAGCCUCCCGACUCCUGCUAGGCUCCCUCGGUGCUGAGUGAACGAGCGCCACGUGGCUCUUGGCCACUUCUGGCUAGCCUGGUUGUCCCCAAGCUGCAAGUCCACUGUAUCAGAAAAUUAUACCAUUGCUU